ACUUCAGUGGGCACUGGAUCAGGCCUUCUAUUCUCAUGCUCUACAGAGCUCAUCAAUGAUUGUGGUGCACAAACAGGAAGCAAAAUGUAAAACAACUGCUGUGCUCCCUGAGAAACAAAUGGAGAGAAAAACACCAAUAUUUGCCAAAGAGAAAAGAUCAAAUGCUUGUGAAGGACUUCCUAGGGGAAAGUAACCUUCACCUUCCAUCCUCCCCACAAGAGUAAUGAAAGCUUCUGAAGUUCCAGAUGGUCUGGAACAAAAGGAUACAGGAGCGGAUGGGAACAAUACACACUAGAAAAAUUUAAAUGCCGCCAAAAGGAAAAUGAGGAAUCAUUUCCCAAGGAUAGACUCCUGCAAACAAUUCCUACGCAAGCAAAAAUCCAGCCUUCAGGUAAAAGAUAAGACUGUAUUGAAGAUAAAGCACAUUGCCCCAUCAACCAUUGAGCCAGGUUAUCCCCUCCAGUGGUAAAACCUUUGGAAGGAGGAAAUCUCCACAGAGAUCCUCUCAUAUCAUCC